rnacentral:lncRNA from 1 species
UUACCAUAUUUGUUUGUGUAUAAAAUAUAAGAUAAAUCUAAGAGAAAUGUCUGUUCUUACGGAUAACAAACAUCAUUGAAUUCUCAUUAAUCGGAUUUAUUAACAUAAAUAAAAUUUAUAGAAAAAUAAAUAAAAAUUCCAUAGUUCAACCCGAAGAAGGGCAGAUACAACCGAUUUGACAACCGUUAAUACCGACGAUUUGUGUUUAUAGUAUUCUUUAGAAUUCACAAAUGAUCAGAAUCAAUGCUUUUGAUACUGAAGUGCAAGAAAC